rnacentral:tRNA from 1 species
AGACCCGUGGUGUAACGGUAGCACACCAGGUUUUGGUCCUGUUAGUUGGGGUUCGAAUCCCUGCGGGUCUA